rnacentral:rRNA from 1 species
GGGGGGCGCGGGGGGGGUGCUGAGCGCAGGCAGGUCGGGCGGGGAGGGGUGUUUCCGGGGGCGGGCGGGGGAGUAGCGCGGAAGAGCCUGCCCUUGGGAGGGGAACAACAACUGGAAACGGUUGCUACUACCCCGUAGGCUGAGGCGCAAAAGGAGGCAUCCGCCCGAGGAGGGGCUUGCGUCUGACUAGCUAGUUGGUGAGGUAAUAGCUUACCAAGGCGAUGAUCAGUAGCUGGUCCGAGAGGAUGAUCCGCCACACGGGGACUGAGACACGGCCCAGACUCCUGCGGGAGGCAGCAGUGGGGAAUUUUCCGCAAUGGGCGAAAGCCUGACGGAGCAAUGCCGCGUGGAGGUAGAAGGCCCACGGGUCGUGAACUUCUUUUCUCGGAGAAGAAACAAUGACGGUAGCUGAGGAAUAAGCAUCGGCUAACUCUGUG